UUUCCUCUUAGAAUGGUUGCUGGGUCUGAUAGGUGGCCUGGGGAGCUGUCGAGGAAGGGCAAAGCAAGCAGCCAUCACUUUGUGGGUGAGAUAGCAACAAGAUGUACUGUUGGUCUCAACAGUGAUGGGACAGAC
rnacentral:snoRNA from 1 species